AGAGUUUGAUCAUGGCUCAGGAUAAACGCUGGCGGCGUGCGUAAAACAUGUAAGUCGAACGGGGUGAGGCCGCAAGGCCGAGCCUAGUGGCGGACGGCUGAGUAACGCGUAGGUGACUUGCCCGAAAGUUUGGAAUAACGAUUCGAAAGAAUCGCUAAUACCGGAUGUGGUUGUGCGUAUAGACGCGUACAACUAAAGCCGUAAGGCGCUUUCGGAGAGGCCUGCGUCCGAUUAGCUAGUUGGUGGGGUAACGGCCUACCAAGGCGACGAUCGGUAGCUGAUCUGAGAGGACGGUCAGCCAGACUGGGACUGAGGCACGGCCCAGACUCCUACGGGAGGCAGCAGUUAGGAAUUUUGCACAAUGGGGGAAACCCUGAUGCAGCAACGCCGCGUGGACGAUGAAGGCCUUCGGGUCGUAAAGUCCUUUUCAACGGGAAGAAACGGACGGUACCGUUGGAAUAAGCCUCGGCUAACUACGUGCCAGCAGCCGCGGUAAUACGUAGGAGGCAAGCGUUAUCCGGAUUUACUGGGCGUAAAGAGCGCGUAGGUGGUUCCGUAAGUUGGGCGUGAAAGCCCCCGGCUUAACUGGGGAGGGUCGUUCAAUACUGCGGGACUUGAGGGUGGAAGAGGAGAUUGGAAUUCCCGGUGUAGUGGUGAAAUGCGUAGAUAUCGGGAGGAACACCUGUGGUGCAGACGAAUCUCUAGGCCACUCCUGACACUAAAGCACGAAAGCGUGGGGAGCAAACAGGAUUAGAUACCCUGGUAGUCCA
rnacentral:rRNA from 1 species